GACGAACGCUGGCGGCGUGCUUAACACAUGCAAGUCGAACGGAAAGGCCCUGCUUUCGUGGGGUGCUCGAGUGGCGAACGGGUGAGUAACACGUGAGUAACCUGCCCUUGACUUUGGGAUAACUUCAGGAAACUGGGGCUAAUACCGGAUAGGAGCUCCUGCUGCAUGGUGGGGGUUGGAAAGUUUCGGCGGUUGGGGAUGGACUCUCGGCUUAUCAGCUUGUUGGUGGGGUAGUGGCUUACCAAGGCUUUGACGGGUAGCCGGCCUGAGAGGGUGACCGGCCACAUUGGGACUGAGAUACGGCCCAGACUCCUACGGGAGGCAGCAGUGGGGAAUAUUGCACAGUGGUCGGAAGCCUGAUGCAGCAACGCCGCGUGCGGGAUGACGGCCUUCGGGUUGUAAACCGCUUUCGCCUGUGACGAAGCGUGAGUGACGGUAAUGGGUAAAGAAGCACCGGCUAACUACGUG
rnacentral:rRNA from 1 species